rnacentral:rRNA from 1 species
CCCCCCCUCGAGGUCCUCAGAAUGCCAGAGUAUUGAUGCUUGGGAGUCAGACAGUGUCAGAUAAAUGUCAUUGUCAAAAGGGAAACAGCCCAGAUCUACAGCUAAGGUCCCAAAGUCAGGUUAAGUGGAAAACGAUGUGAAGAUACGCAGACAACCAGGAUGUUGGCUCAGAAGCAGCCACUCAUUCAAAGAGUGCGUAAUAGCUCACUGGUCGAGCGUCUUUGCGCGGAGAAUUUAACGGGGCUAAACCUGACACCGAAGCUUAGGCAAUCCAGCAAUGGAUUGGGUAGGGGAGCGUUGUAUAUGCGGAGAAACAGUAGCGUAAGCGGCUGUGGAGUGUAUAGAAGUGAGAAUGCCGGAAUGAGUAGCGCGAAUGCAGUGAGAAUCUGCAUGGCCGAAAGCCUCAGGUUUUUGGAGGAAGGUUCGUCCGCUCCAAGUUAGUCGGGAGCUAAGGUGAGGCCGGAAGGCGUAGCCGAUGCACAGACGGUAGAGAUUCCGUCACCACCAAAAGAGUUAAGCACAGGGACACAUUUGAAGUCUCAGAGCCGGGUGUUGGUUCCGGUAGAGAUCGAGGGAAAUUAGUACCGAAGUCUGAGAUGGAAGAUGGCGAGAAAAGCUGUGUGUAUUUCUGAGGUGCCCGUACCGCAAACCGACACAGGUAGGUAGGAAGAAGAUUCUAAGGCCAACGGGAGAAGGGUUGUUAAGGAACUCGGCAAAUUGACCCCGUAACUUCGGGAGAAGGGGUGCUCCAGAGAUGGAGCCGCAGAGAAUCGGCCCAAGCAACUGUUUACCAAAAACACAGGUUUGUGCUAAAUCGAAAGAUGACGUAUACGAGCUGACGCCUGCCCGGUGCUGGAAGGUUAAGAGGAGAUGUGCAAGCAUUGAAUCGAAGCCCCAGUGAACGGCGGCCGUAACUAUAACGGUCCUAAGGUAGCGAAAUUCCUUGUCAGGUAAGUUCUGACCCGCAUGAAAGGCGUAAUGAUUUGGGCACUGUCUCAACAGCCCGCCCGGCGAAAUUGUAGUACCGGUGAAGAUGCCGGUUACCCGCGACAAGACGGAAAGACCCCAUGGAGCUUUACUGUAGCCUAAUAUUGGGUUUCGAUGUUGCAUGCACAGGAUAGAUGGGACACUGGGAAACAAUCGCUUUGGCGGUUGCGGAGUGGCCGUUGGGAUACCAUCCUUGCGAUAUUGGAAUUCUAACCUGCGGCUCUGAAUCGAGUCGGGGGACAUUGUUAGGUGGGCAGUUUGACUGGGGCGGUCGCCUCCUAAAAAGUAACGGAGGCGGUCAAAAGUUUCCGGGA